rnacentral:rRNA from 1 species
UAGUAAUUGUGCAGCCGCGGUAAUACAGAGGUCUCAAGCGUUGUUCGGAAUCACUGGGCGUAAAGCGUGCGUAGGCUGUUUCGUAAGUCGUGUGUGAAAGGCGCGGGCUCAACCCGCGGACGGCACAUGAUACUGCGAGACUAGAGUAAUGGAGGGGGAACCGGAAUUCUCGGUGUAGCAGUGAAAUGCGUAGAUAUCGAGAGGAACACUCGUGGCGAAGGCGGGUUCCUGGACAUUAACUGACGCUGAGGCACGAAGGCCAGGGGAGCGAAAGGG